CUUUGUUCAAACGGGCAUAUAAAGACUGCUGAUCUUAGAGGAAGUUUAGAAGGAGUAGUGGCUGGGUGCUGAAUUAGCAUAGACCAGUAGCAUCUCAGAGUCACAAUGUCCCUCCCUUGCUGUACAGGGGCUCAGAGAGGUACCAAUGAUCCUCUCCCGCUGCUGUCACCCUCCUCCUUCGAUUACCUUCCAUCUACCAUCUAAGUACAGAGUUACUUAUAUCGUCUCCCCCUGUGGAAGGCAAGAAAGAAUCACUGAAACUUCCUGAAAAGCAGAGAUGGUUGAUCCUGUACUUUGCAAAUACCACAGCUGCCAAGGAUGGGAGAAAAUGGAGAGAGGGUUGUUUAUUCUGCACAGAAGCAUCUUCAGAGGUAAUUUUUUUUUCAAAUUUAAA
rnacentral:lncRNA from 1 species